GGGUUGUGAGGUUAAGCGACUAAGCGUACACGGUGGAUGCCCUGGCAGUCAGAGGCGAUGAAGGACGUGCUAAUCUGCGAUAAGCGUCGGUAAGGUGAUAUGAACCGUUAUAACCGGCGAUUUCCGAAUGGGGAAACCCAGUGUGAUUCGUCACACUAUCAUUACGUGAAUACAUAGCGUAAUGAAGCGAACCGGGGGAACUGAAACAUCUAAGUACCCCGAGGAAAAGAAAUCAACCGAGAUUCCCCCAGUAGCGGCGAGCGAACGGGGAGCAGCCCAGAGUCUGAAUCAGCUUGUGUGUUAGUGGAACGGUCUGGAAAGUCCGACGGUACAGGGUGAUAGUCCCGUACACCAAAAUGCACAGGUUGUGAACUCGAAGAGUAGGGCGGGACACGUGGUAUCCUGUCUGAAUAUGGGGGGACCAUCCUCCAAGGCUAAAUACUCCUGACUGACCGAUAGUGAACCAGUACCGUGAGGGAAAGGCGAAAAGAACCCCGGCGAGGGGAGUGAAAAAGAACCUGAAACCGUGUACGUACAAGCAGUGGGAGCCUCUUUAUGGGGUGACUGCGUACCUUUUGUAUAAUGGGUCAGCGACUUAUAUUCUGUAGCAAGGUUAACCGUAUAGGGGAGCCGAAGGGAAACCGAGUCUUAACUGGGCGUUAAGUUGCAGGGUAUAGACCCGAAACCCGGUGAUCUAGCCAUGGGCAGGUUGAAGGUUGGGUAACACUAACUGGAGGACCGAACCGACUAAUGUUGAAAAAUUAGCGGAUGACUUGUGGCUGGGGGUGAAAGGCCAAUCAAACCGGGAGAUAGCUGGUUCUCCCCGAAAGCUAUUUAGGUAGCGCCUCGUGAACUCAUCUUCGGGGGUAGAGCACUGUUUCGGCUAGGGGGUCAUCCCGACUUACCAACCCGAUGCAAACUGCGAAUACCGAAGAAUGUUAUCACGGGAGACACACGGCGGGUGCUAACGUCCGUCGUGAAGAGGGAAACAACCCAGACCGCCAGCUAAGGUCCCAAAGUCAUGGUUAAGUGGGAAACGAUGUGGGAAGGCACAGACAGCCAGGAUGUUGGCUUAGAAGCAGCCAUCAUUUAAAGAAAGCGUAAUAGCUCACUGGUCGAGUCGGCCUGCGCGGAAGAUGUAACGGGGCUAAACCAUGCACCGAAGCUGCGGCAGCGACACUAUGUGUUGUUGGGUAGGGGAGCGUUCUGUAAGCCGUUGAAGGUGUAUCGUGAGGUAUGCUGGAGGUAUCAGAAGUGCGAAUGCUGACAUAAGUAACGAUAAUGCGGGUGAAAAACCCGCACGCCGGAAGACCAAGGGUUCCUGUCCAACGUUAAUCGGGGCAGGGUGAGUCGACCCCUAAGGCGAGGCCGAAAGGCGUAGUCGAUGGGAAACAGGUUAAUAUUCCUGUACUUGGUGUUACUGCGAAGGGGGGACGGAGAAGGCUAUGUUAGCCGGGCGACGGUUGUCCCGGUUUAAGCAUGUAGGCGGAGGUUCCAGGUAAAUCCGGUACCUUUUAACGCUGAGGUGUGAUGACGAGGCACUACGGUGCUGAAGUAACAAAUGCCCUGCUUCCAGGAAAAGCCUCUAAGCAUCAGGUAACACGAAAUCGUACCCCAAACCGACACAGGUGGUCAGGUAGAGAAUACCAAGGCGCUUGAGAGAACUCGGGUGAAGGAACUAGGCAAAAUGGUGCCGUAACUUCGGGAGAAGGCACGCUGAUAUGUAGGUGAAGCGGUUUACCCGUGGAGCUGAAAUCAGUCGAAGAUACCAGCUGGCUGCAACUGUUUAUUAAAAACACAGCACUGUGCAAACACGAAAGUGGACGUAUACGGUGUGACGCCUGCCCGGUGCCGGAAGGUUAAUUGAUGGGGUUAUCCGUAAGGAGAAGCUCUUGAUCGAAGCCCCGGUAAACGGCGGCCGUAACUAUAACGGUCCUAAGGUAGCGAAAUUCCUUGUCGGGUAAGUUCCGACCUGCACGAAUGGCGUAAUGAUGGCCAGGCUGUCUCCACCCGAGACUCAGUGAAAUUGAACUCGCUGUGAAGAUGCAGUGUACCCGCGGCAAGACGGAAAGACCCCGUGAACCUUUACUAUAGCUUGACACUGAACACUGGUCCUUGAUGUGUAGGAUAGGUGGGAGGCUUUGAAGUGUGGACGCCAGUCUGCAUGGAGCCAUCCUUGAAAUACCACCCUUUAAUGGCUGGUGUUCUAACGUGGACCCGUGAUCCGGGUUGCGGACAGUGUCUGGUGGGUAGUUUGACUGGGGCGGUCUCCUCCUAAAGAGUAACGGAGGAGCACGAAGGUUAGCUAAUCCUGGUCGGACAUCAGGAGGUUAGUGCAAAGGCAUAAGCUAGCUUGACUGCGAGAGUGACGGCUCGAGCAGGUGCGAAAGCAGGUCUUAGUGAUCCGGUGGUUCUGAAUGGAAGGGCCAUCGCUCAACGGAUAAAAGGUACUCCGGGGAUAACAGGCUGAUACCGCCCAAGAGUUCAUAUCGACGGCGGUGUUUGGCACCUCGAUGUCGGCUCAUCACAUCCUGGGGCUGAAGUAGGUCCCAAGGGUAUGGCUGUUCGCCAUUUAAAGUGGUACGCGAGCUGGGUUUAGAACGUCGUGAGACAGUUCGGUCCCUAUCUGCCGUGGGCGCUGGAGAAUUGAGGGGGGCUGCUCCUAGUACGAGAGGACCGGAGUGGACGCAUCACUGGUGUUCGGGUUGUCAUGCCAAUGGCAUUGCCCGGUAGCUAAAUGCGGAAGAGAUAAGUGCUGAAAGCAUCUAAGCACGAAACUUGCCCCGAGAUGAGUUCUCCCUGACUCCUUGAGAGUCCUGAAGGAACGUUGAAGACGACGACGUUGAUAGGCUGGGUGUGUAAGUGUAGCGAUACAUUGAGCUAACCAGUACUAAUGAACCGUGAGGCUUAACCUUACAACGCCGAAG
rnacentral:rRNA from 1 species